CACGAACGCUGGCGGCAGGCUUAACACAUGCAAGUCGAGCGCCCCGCAAGGGGAGCGGCAGACGGGUGAGUAACGCGUGGGAAUCUACCCAUCUCUACGGAAUAACGCAUGGAAACGUGUGCUAAUACCGUAUACGUCCUUCGGGAGAAAGAUUUAUCGGAGAUGGAUGAGCCCGCGUUGGAUUAGCUAGUUGGUGGGGUAAAGGCCUACCAAGGCGACGAUCCAUAGCUGGUCUGAGAGGAUGAUCAGCCACACUGGGACUGAGACACGGCCCAGACUCCUACGGGAGGCAGCAGUGGGGAAUAUUGGACAAUGGGCGCAAGCCUGAUCCAGCCAUGCCGCGUGAGUGAUGAAGGCCCUAGGGUUGUAAAGCUCUUUCACCGGUGAAGAUAAUGACGGUAACCGGAGAAGAAGCCCCGGCUAACUUCGUGCCAGCCGCCGCCGCAGUAA
rnacentral:rRNA from 1 species